GAUGAACGCUGGCGGCGUGCCUAAUACAUGCAAGUCGAGCGAACAGAUGAGGAGCUUGCUCCUCUGACGUUAGCGGCGGACGGGUGAGUAACACGUGGAUAACCUACCUAUAAGACUGGGAUAACUUCGGGAAACCGGCGCUAAUACCGGAUAAUAUAUUGAACCGCAUGGUUCAAUAGUUAAAGACGGUUUUGCUGUCACUUAUAGAUGGUUCCGCGCCGCAUUAGCUAGUUGGUAAGGUAACGGCUUACCAAGGCGACGAUGCGUAGCCGACCUGAGAAGGUAAUCGGCGACACAGGAACUGAGACACGGUCCAGACUACUAAGGGAGGCAGCAGUAGGGAAUCUGCAGCAAUGGGCGAAAGCCUGACGGAGCAACGCCGCGUGAGUGAUGAAGGUCUUCGGAUCAUAAAACUCUGUUAUUAGGGAAGAACAAAUGUGUAAGUAACUAUGCACGUCUUGACGGUACCUAAUCAGAAAGCCACGGCUAACUACGUG
rnacentral:rRNA from 1 species